AAAACUUCAAGUCCAAAUGUAACGGCUAUGGUGGAUGGAAAAAGAAAUUAAACAUGGGGGAAAUAUUCAUUAGGUCUAGGCGCACAAAGUGGUAUGAAGUUUUACUCAAAAUAGAAACUCACAGUACCUGUACGGAAGCAAGCUCAAAGGUGUGAAAAUGGUGGAUUUGCAAGCUCAAACAAAAAUUUGUGAGUUGGCAAAGUGAUGCUGCAAUGGUCUUUUUGCAGUGCAAAUCCUUUAGUUUUGUGGGAAGGUAGGAAAAUAUGGUGUAUUGGUUGGGGCCCACUGACUCAAGAUAACUUGGUGGAUAAAACACUACAUUUGCAAGGUGCAUUGCAGGUGGGCAUUCUGUAGAUUGGUUUAGGGACAUUGUUCUGCAUGUUGAUGCUUGCUGCAAGGCUUGAUUGUAGACUGGUUUAGGGACACUCAUGGUGUAGCAAAUGGUAUGCUGCUUGGUCUUUGCUCAUGCCUUUUUGUGUGCUGCAGAAUUGGUAAAGUCCUGCAUAAUUGUGUUGCAUUUGUGAAGCUAUGCAGGAUUUCAAGGCAUGUUCUUGUGAGUUGUAAUCCACAUGAUGGUUUGCUUCAUGGCCUGAGUUUCUAAUGCAUUAUUGCAGGUUGCAUUAGGCAUGAACUUGUUUUGCUUUGAUGGCUUGCAAUGCCUAUGGUUGGACCAUGCUAUAAUGGCUCUUUACACAAGUUUGAUGCAUUACUUUUGCAUGACAUAAUUAACAUAUGAAUGAUGUUUAAUGUCUUGUUUGAAUGCGUGAUAUGUUGUAAUGUCUUUGGUUGGUCUUUUGUAGGUUACGCACACAUGGAAUGGAUUGGCACAAUGACUUGCAAAGAUAUUCAACUAUCUUGCGCAUGAAGUAACAUUGGCAUAUGACACUAACCGAGGAUCAAGAGUGAAAUAGGGAUUAAGGUUUUGGGAUGGAAAAUGGGUGAGUUGACUACGGUCAAAAUGUCAACUUUUUUUUGUAAAUUUUGUAUUUUUUUUGGAACAUCUUAUGAUUUAUAAUGAAAAUUGGUGCUUUUUGUAGUAAGACAAAGAUAUCUUUUUGUAUCUUAGAACCUUCAUGCAUUCAUGUAAUGAGAUACUUUAUGAUA